rnacentral:rRNA from 1 species
UACAGAGGGUGCGAGCGUUAAUCGGAAUUACUGGGCGUAAAGCGCUGGUAGGUGGCUGAUUAAGUCGCGUGUGAAAGCUCCAGGCUCAACCUGGAAAGGGCGCGCGAAACUGGUUAGCUUGAGUGCCGGAGAGGGUCGCGGAAUUCCCGGUGUAGAGGUGAAAUUCGUAGAUAUCGGGAGGAACACCAGAGGCGAAGGCGGCGACCUGGAAGGUAACUGACACUGAGCAGCGAAAGCGUGGGGAGCAAACAGG